rnacentral:lncRNA from 1 species
UGGAUUCAGAGAAAAGAUGACAGUGCACCCUGAGAAAAGACCAUGGUGCACCGAAAGAAAAGACAAGGGGGAACACAAAGAAAAAAUGACAGUGAACCCGGAGAAAAGGCAAUGGUGAACCCAGAGAAAAUACAAUUGUGAACCCAGAGAUCAUUAAAAAGUCAGGAAACAACAGGUGCUGGAGAGGAUGUGGAGAAAUAGGAACACUUUAACACAUGGACACAGGAAGGAGAACAUUACACAGCGGGGCCUGUUGUGGGGUGGGGGGAGGGGGGAGGGAUAGCAUUAGGAGAUAUACCUAAUGCUAAAUGACUAGUUAAUGGGUGCAGCACACCAACAUGGCACAUGUAUACAUAUGUAACAAACCUGCACAUUGUGC